rnacentral:lncRNA from 1 species
AUUUUCCCCAGGCUUGACUUAGAUGGUCCUGGAACUUUCUACCACUAAAGAUCUCUAAAAAGCCAUGUGCUAACGGCUUAUAGGGAACUUCCUUCUAAUAUUCCAUUUUAUCUCUGUAAUUGCUAAAAUCGCCUGGGAAACUAACUAGAUUAUUAGUUCAUGAGAAGACUUUUAUGGGUUUUCUAAUGAUCCAGAUAGUUUAUGCCUUACUCCUUCUGACUUUUCCGUGAAUUAUGUAACUUAAUGAUGAAACAAUGGAAGAUUAAAUAAAUAAAUAAAUAAAAGUCCUGAAAGGACAUUUAC